GACGAACGCUGGCGGCGUGCCUAACACAUGCAAGUCGAACGGAACUGUUUUGAUAGAUUUCUUCGGAAUGAAUUUGAUUUAGUUUAGUGGCGGACGGGUGAGUAACGCGUGAGUAACCUGCCUUCAAGAGGGGGAUAACAUUCUGAAAAGAAUGCUAAUACCGCAUGACAUAUCGGAAUCACAUGGUUUUGAUAUCAAAGAUUUUAUCGCUUGAAGAUGGACUCGCGUCCGAUUAGUUAGUUGGUGAGGUAACGGCUCACCAAGACCGCGAUCGGUAGCCGGACUGAGAGGUUGAACGGCCACAUUGGGACUGAGACACGGCCCAGACUCCUACGGGAGGCAGCAGUGGGGGAUAUUGCGCAAUGGGGGCAACCCUGACGCAGCAACGCCGCGUGAAGGAUGAAGGUUUUCGGAUUGUAAACUUCUUUUAUUAAGG
rnacentral:rRNA from 1 species